rnacentral:rRNA from 1 species
UGCUGCCUACGGGACGCAGCAGUGAGGAAUAUUGGUCAAUGGGCGGGAGCCUGAACCAGCCAAGUCGCGUGAGGGAAGACGGUCCUAUGGACUGUAAACCUCUUUAGGCGGGGAGCAAUGCCGGGCACGCGUGUCCGGAGGGAGAGUACCCGCAGAAUAAGCAUCGGCUAACUACGUGCCAGCAGCCGCGGUAAUACGUAGGUGGCGAGCGUUAUCCGGAAUGAUUGGGCGUAAAGGGUGCGUAGGCGGCCUGCUAGGUCUGGAGUGAAAGGUACCGGCUCAACCGGUACAGG